rnacentral:rRNA from 1 species
GACGAACGCUGGCGGCGUGCUUAACACAUGCAAGUCGACAUGAGUGGCGAACGGGAGAGUAAUACGUGGGUACCCUUCCCUCCUUUUUGGGAUAAGCCUUGGAAACGGGGACUAAUUCCGCAUAUAGGGGGAUGGGCUAGUGGCCUAUCAGCUUGUUGGUGGGGUGAUGGCCUACCAAUGCGGUGACGGGUAGACGGACUGAGCGGGCGACCGGCCACAGAGGGACUGAGAUGCGGCCCAGACGCCGAAGGGGGGCGGCAGUGGGUGAUAUUGGAGAAAGGGUGAAGGCCUGAUGCAGCGUGGAUGCGGGGGGGAUUAAGGCUGUCGGGUUGUAAAACUCUGGCGGUAUCGAACGGGUAGGGGGAGAAGAAGCGCCGGCUAACUACGUGCCAGCAGCCGCGGUAAUAC